CGCGGAGCUGCUGGGCACCACCUGGGUGCUCCUCGCAGGGCUGCUGGUGCCGUUCCCAGCUCUGGCAGCAACGGAGGCUGUCCACAGAGCCGCUGCUGUGGGAUCCUCGGUGCUGCUCCCCGGGCUGGAUAACGCCCACAGCGAUUCCAUGUGCUGGGAAUUCCUCAAUGGCACCGGCCCCCACCCCAUCCUGCAGCACGAGGGGGGUGCCCAUGCCCCAGCCAUCCACGCUCCCUAUGCAGGACGAGCUGUUUUCCACCCAUCCAAUGGAUCUCUCCUGCUGGAGGAUGUCCAGGAAAGUGACAGUGGCACCUACAGAGUGACUGUCAACUCAGGACACAGGAGGAGCCUGGAAAUUCAGCUGGAAGUCCUCCAGCCUGUGUCCCGCCCUCAGCUCCGGACCAGCAGUCUCCUGGCUCGGGCCACUGGCCAGGUUGUCUGUGAGGCGGCAGAGGGCAGAGUGGACACCAUCACCUGGAAGAAGG
rnacentral:lncRNA from 1 species